rnacentral:lncRNA from 1 species
UAAAACUACAAAAUAUCAAAGUUACGACCAUAGUACCAUGCUCAUGUCAUAAUAUAUUACCAACAAAAUAAACACGUUCAAAAAAAGUCGUUCUAGUACUAAAAACUAGUCUAAAACAACCUAAGUCAAGAGUCACUAUGCAAUGACUGGUCGUCCAAGUUGUCAUCAUAAUGAGGAUGUGUAGGAGGCUGGGUCGCAC